AUUGAACGCUGGCGGCAUGCCUUACACAUGCAAGUCGAACGGCAGCACGGGAGCAAUCCUGGUGGCGAGUGGCGAACGGGUGAGUAAAGUAUCGGAACGUGCCCAGUCGUGGGGGAUAACGUAGCGAAAGUUACGCUAAUACCGCAUACGAUCUAUGGAUGAAAGCGGGGGAUCGCAAGACCUCGCGCGAUUGGAGCGGCCGAUAUCAGAUUAGGUAGUUGGUGGGGUAAAGGCUCACCAAGCCGACGAUCUGUAGCUGGUCUGGAGAGGACGACCAGCCACACUGGGACUGAGACACGGCCCAGACUCCUACGGGAGGCAGCAGUGGGGAAUUUUGGACAAUGGGCGAAAGCCUGAUCCAGCCAUGCCGCGUGCAGGAUGAAGGCCUUCGGGUUGUAAACUGCUUUUGUACGGAACGAAAAGGUUUGGCCUAAUAAGCUGAGCUCAUGACGGUACCGUAAGAAUAGGCACCGGCUAACUACGUGCCAGCCGCCGCGGUAACAC
rnacentral:rRNA from 1 species